UGACAUUGACAGAUGUUGUUUCACUGACAGCUGUCUGUUGAACUUUUUAAACAAAUUCUUGGUUAGCUGUUUUUCGAGGUUUGUUUUAAAAACAGUGUUUGUUUCGUUUCAGUAAGUGACUAUUCAAGUGAUCCCAAUAAUCUGCACAUGGGUACCACGCUGUUCUAGCUAUUCACACAUUGAAGUUGAUGAAGAGUAUAACUACUACUUGUCCAAUGCACCAGAAAGUGCAGCAAAUGAAGCAAUGGCUCAAUCAAGGAUAUGGCCCUAAUGAUGUGGAACUCAAAGACACCACAAGUUCUGAUCAAGUUUUGCAGACACCAGAGAAAUAGCAACAAUAUCAAGAAGAAAUGUCUGAAAGACGAUUGCCACAAAAUCUUUAGUUGAGGUUACAACUUCUACUGCCAAAGUUGAAAGAAGUUGCAAGAAAAUUUAAAAACUUGUUUGUGUUGUGACCAAGGUGGAGCAAUUGAAGUCCGGAUAUUGGUUAAAUAUGGUGUUUGAUGCUGUGCACUGGCUGAAAGGGUUGAGAAACAAUUUAUUAAACAAAACAAGUUUUUUAAUGGUUAAUUGUGAUAUGGGAUGAUAUGCUCACUCUUUAUAAGGCUGAUUGUACUCUGAGACACAGCAGGAUGAAUAAAGAACUACAGACAACCAUUCAAUACCAGUCAAAAUAAAAAAAAAUUAAAGAACAUGUUUGCUGCACAAGUACUCAAUGUGCAAAGAAGCCCCAUACUAAAAUAAACUGCAUAAUUUUUUUGACUCUACCAUUGGCGAUGGACAAGUAAAUUUAACAAUAAAAACUACAGGUGACACCAUGGAAUUUAUUGAUUAUUCAAUAGCGUCAAAGGAGCAAGACUAAACACCAAAAAAAGGGAAGCUGAAGCGACCGGAUACGCCGAAUUCAAAACACUUAGAAUUUUGGCGCAAUGACGCCAGCAAUUUUAAAGGUUGCUUCUUCUACCUUGACGCCAAGCUUAUUCAAAAUACUGCGUGAAACACAUUUUCGUUAGUUUAUAUGUAAUUUUUUUUUUACAUCCAUUGUGGACUUCAAUCUAGACUCGCCAAACUGUAACGUUUGUUGGCGAGUAGCGCUCAUUAAACAAUUUAAACAAAUAAAUUACACACACUUAUAACUAAGUCUGUAUGACUACAGGACAUACCGUAUUAAUCUUAAAAUUUCAACUCAAUCAAAUAAAAUAAUACUGACAUUAUUAAGUCCUUGUUAUAAAAUAAUAAAAAGAUAAAAACUGAAAACAAAGUCAAAGUCAAAGCAUUUAUUUCAAUUAAUCCUAAAUUAGGCACUUUUGAAACGUCAAAUUGAAUUGUCCGUCAGUGAAGCUAGGCGCUCGUUCCAAAAACAAUAAUAAUCUACAUCUUUAACUCUAACAACAUUUUUUUAAAUUUUGACUUUAGAGAUCCUUUAUAAUCCUAAAUUAGGCACUUUUGAAACGUCAAAUUGAAUUGUCCGUCAGUCUGUCCGUCAGUGUCGGCGCUAGGCUAGGCGCUCGCUCCAAAAACAAUAAUAAUCUACAUCUUUAACUCUAACAACAUUCUUUUUAAUUUUCACUUUAGAGAUCCUUUACUUUAGUGAUAGGACAUUUUCAAUAAGUAUUAUUUAUUUUAUAAUUUGUAAAUAACUUUAGCUGUUGGUGGCGUCUCUACCUAUUGGCUAUUUAAUUUAAGCUACUAAAAUAACCGUUGAAGAGGUUAAAAAUUAUAACAUUUGUGCCUUCAGACAGUAAGAGUUAGAAUAAUUAAAAAAAAAGAGUACCAUAUGAUGCAGUUCCCUCUGUAGAUGGUUGUAUUACAACUCUAUAUAGUUUUGCUUAGAGGAUAUCCAACAUGCUUUUUUUAAAAAUAUGAUUUAAAGUAUUUUAAGCUAUAAUAGGCCCUAUGCCUAUUUAAUUUGCCAAUUAUCAAUACUCACUUGAAAAUAUUUUUGGCAAGAUAAGAGAGCAAAGAUUUAUUUUAAUGUCUGUUUUGUAGAUCAAUUGACCACAGGAAUCUACAUUUUGGAACUAGCAAAUAGCUUCACUAGAGGACGGACCGACAGACAGACUUAUGUAUUUGUUUUUUUUUGUAUUGUAAUAUUUGCCUUACCGUACAAAAGUGCCUUCUCGGUCUAUUUGAAAUAAAAUUAUUUGACUUUGACUUUUAAAGCGCAUAAUGAAUAUCUACAAUACUCGUAUGUACAGGUUUUAAGGAAUGUAAAUAAAUAAUUUGAAUGUAUAUUAUUA